rnacentral:rRNA from 1 species
GUGGGGAAUAUUGGACAAUGGGCGCAAGCCUGAUCCAGCCAUGCCGCGUGGGUGAUGAAGGCCUUAGGGUUGUAAAGCCCUUUCGGCGGGGAAGAUAAUGACGGUACCCGCAGAAGAAGCCCCGGCUAACUUCGUGCCAGCAGCCGCGGUAAUACGAAGGGGGCUAGCGUUGCUCGGAAUCACUGGGCGUAAAGCGCACGUAGGCGGACUCUUAAGUCGGUGGUGAAAUCCUGGAGCUCAACUCCAGAACUGCCUUCGAUACUGGGAGUCUUCGAGUCCGGGAGAGGUGAGUGGAACUGCGAGUGUAGAGGUGAAAUUCGUAGAUAUUCGCAAGAACACCAGUGGCGAAGGCGGCUCACUGGCCCGGUACUGACGCUGAGGUGCGAAAGCGUGGGGAGCAAACAGGAUUAGAUACCCUUGUAGUCC